CCCGCCCCUUUUCCGAGGGCGGGGGGAGAAUGCUAUAUAAGCGGGGCGCUCGCCCUGGACGGUCUUUUUCGCAACGGGUUUGCCGCGAGAGCACAGGUGUAGUGAAAACCCACCACUAAAUCAAAUCCAACAUGGGAAAGGAGAAGACUCAUAUCAAUAUCGUCGUCAU